rnacentral:rRNA from 1 species
UACGAGGGGGGCAAGCGUUGCCCGGAAUGACUGGGCGUAAAGGGCGCGUAGGCGGCUUUCAUAGUUAGGCGUGAAAUUCCUGGGCUCAACCUGGGGACAGCGUCUAAUACAUCUUGGCUUGAGUGUGAAAGAGGGUCGUGGAAUUUCCAGUGUAGAGGUGAAAUUCGUAGAUAUAGGAAAGAACACCGGUGGCGAAGGCGGCCUCCUGGUUCACUACUGACGCUGAGACGCGAAAGCUAGGGGAGCAAACAGG